GAUCCUGGCUCAGAAUCAACGCUGGCGGCGUGCCUCAGACAUGCAAGUCGUACGUGAAAGUCCUUCGGGAUGAGUAAAGUGGCGCACGGGUGAGUAACACGUGAGUUAUCUGCCUUUGGGUGGGGAAUACCAACCGGAAACGGUUGUUAAUACCGCAUAACGCUUGCGCUGUAAUGGCGUAUGUUAAAGCGGGGGAUCAGCAAUGACCUCGCGCCUGAAGAGGAGCUCGCGGCAGAUUAGGUAGUUGGUGAGGUAAUGGCUCACCAAGCCUGCGAUCUGUAACCGGCCUGAGAGGGCGGUCGGUCACACUGACACUGACAUACGGGUCAGACUCCUACGGGAGGCAGCAGUCGGGAAUUUUGGGCAAUGGGCGAAAGCCUGACCCAGCAACGCCGCGUGAAGGAUGAAGCAUUUCGGUGUGUAAACUUCGCAAGAAUAGGAAGAAUAAGUUUGAACAAAUAAUUCAAACGAUGACGGUACUAUUUAUAAGCUCCGGCUAACUUCGUGCCAGCAGCCGCGGUAAUACGAGGGGAGCAAGCGUUGUUCGGAUUUACUGGGCGUAAAGGGUGCGUAGGCGGCACCACAAGUCACUUGUGAAAUCUUUGGGCUUAACCCAAAGCGGCCAAGUGAUACUGUGGAGCUAGAGUGCAGAAGGGGCAACUGGAAUUCCCCGGUGUAGCGGUGAAAUGC
rnacentral:rRNA from 1 species